AAGGUAAAUCAAUAUUGUCUCCUUAUGACACAUAAAAUGGAAUGAUUUUUCUUCUUGAAAGAAUAUUUUCUUCUAAUUCUGGAGUCUUGGAUGAAAUACUAUUAGUUGUACUUCAAGUUAUUUUAUUUGUAGUACUUUUGAGAGAUGAGCUGUACCUUAAUUUGAAUAUGUAAAAUUGGUUUUGAACAUUUCAGUUUUCUUUAUAAAGAAGUCAAGUGUAUCUUGUUAUCCUAGCUCUACCCCAAAAAAACAUCCUAGAAAUGCUCUAUCUUCUACUUUCUAUAAAUAGAUAUUUCCCAAUAUAAGCAAUUCAGGUGAUCAGCAGAUAUAUGUAAAAUAUGUAAAAUGUGCAGUUUCCUCGGUGAUUGGGAAAUAUAUGUAAAAAAUCACAAUGUAAUAGCAUCUCGCCCUAGUUAGAAUGACUAUCAUACAAAGGACCAAAAUAGCAAACACUGGCAAGGAUAUGGAGAGAACUCCCUGGCACAGCCAUCAUGCAGAAACAGAGUUCCUCAAGAAACGAAGCCUAAAACCAAACUGCUAUCCAGCUUCCACCUUGCUGGGUAUCGAUCCAAAGAGGUGAAAAUAGUACAGCAGAAACACUCCAAUUCUUGAUUUUGUCAUUGUGCUGUUCUUAAUAGCUAAAAUAUCAAACCAACCUCAAUGUCCAUGCACAGAAGACUUGAUACAGAAUGAAUUAUAUGCCCAGCGGAAUACUCUUUGAUGAUAAAAUGACAUGUAAUCAUUUGCAGGAAAAUAGAUGGAAGAAGCAGAAUGCCCAGGGUGUGACUCAGGUGUACAAAGACAAGUCCCACAUGUUCUUUCAGGUGGAGUUGGAAGUACAGCCUACGUGUGGCAUCAGAGAAUAUGUCAUUGGCAUGUAGACACCAGGGUUGUUACACAUGGGCUACAGAGCAACAGGAAGAAUCUGCUUCAAACUUCUCUCUCCCACAGAGUGCACCAAUGAUUGUUGAGCAUUUGUCAGACUAAACGGCAGACACUUUGCAGGAUGACCUCAUCUGAUUUUUCAGGACAAUUUUAAAAUGAAGCUCAGGAAAAGAAAGCAGUCUAUUGGCAGCCACACAAGGAAAAUCCCAACCCAGCCGUUGGAUUCCAUAUCCAGUAAUUUUUCAAUUGUCUUUCAUACAUAAUGCAGUAAUUAUUCAUUGGCAUCUUGUCUAUCACAACUGUAGUGUAAUUAUAGUAGCCACGGAAAAGGGCAAGUUAUAUUUAAUGUAAGGAAUGAGGUUUGCUACUGUGGUUUUAUUCUAUUUUGUUCAUGUUCACUGAGCACAGAAAAUAAAAGGUAAGCUCGAUA